UGUGGUUACAAUAGCAGAGAGGAUACACCUGUUCCCAUUCCGAACACAGAAGUUAAGCUCUCUAGCGCUGAUGGUACUUGGU
rnacentral:rRNA from 1 species